CAGGCUUAACACAUGCAAGUCGAGGGGCAGCACAGGUAGCAAUACCGGGUGGCGACCGGCGCACGGGUGAGUAACGCGUAUGCAACUUGCCUAUCAGAGGGGGAUAACCCGGCGAAAGUCGGACUAAUACCGCAUGAAGCAGGGGCCCCGCAUGGGGAUAUUUGCUAAAGAUUCAUCGCUGAUAGAUAGGCAUGCGUUCCAUUAGGCAGUUGGCGGGGUAACGGCCCACCAAACCGACGAUGGAUAGGGGUUCUGAGAGGAAGGUCCCCCACAUUGGUACUGAGACACGGACCAAACUCCUACGGGAGGCAGCAGUGAGGAAUAUUGGUCAAUGGGCGCGAGCCUGAACCAGCCAAGUCGCGUGAGGGAUGAAGGUUCUAUGGAUCGUAAACCUCUUUUAUAAGGGAAUAAAGUGCGGGACGUGUCCCGUUUUGUAUGUACCUUAUGAAUAAGGAUCGGCUAACUCCGUGCCAGCAGCCGCGGUAAUACGGAGGAUCCGAGCGUUAUCCGGAUUUAUUGGGUUUAAAGGGUGCGUAGGCGGCCUUUUAAGUCAGCGGUGAAAGUCUGUGGCUCAACCAUAGAAUUGCCGUUGAAACUGGGGGGCUUGAGUAUGUUUGAGGCAGGCGGAAUGCGUGGUGUAGCGGUGAAAUGCAUAGAUAUCACGCAGAACCCCGAUUGCGAAGGCAGCCUGCCAAGCCAUUACUGACGCUGAUGCACGAAAGCGUGGGGAUCAAACAGGAUUAGAUACCCUGGUAGUCCACGCAGUAAACGAUGAUCACUAGCUGUUUGCGAUACACUGUAAGCGGCACAGCGAAAGCGUUAAGUGAUCCACCUGGGGAGUACGCCGGCAACGGUGAAACUCAAAGGAAUUGACGGGGGCCCGCACAAGCGGAGGAACAUGUGGUUUAAUUCGAUGAUACGCGAGGAACCUUACCCGGGUUUGAACGCAUUCGGACCGAGGUGGAAACACCUUUUCUAGCAAUAGCCGUUUGCGAGGUGCUGCAUGGUUGUCGUCAGCUCGUGCCGUGAGGUGUCGGCUUAAGUGCCAUAACGAGCGCAACCCUUGCCACUAGUUACUAACAGGUAAAGCUGAGGACUCUGGUGGGACUGCCAGCGUAAGCUGCGAGGAAGGCGGGGAUGACGUCAAAUCAGCACGGCCCUUACAUCCGGGGCGACACACGUGUUACAAUGGCGUGGACAAAGGGAAGCCACCUGGCGACAGGGAGCGAAUCCCCAAACCACGUCUCAGUUCGGAUCGGAGUCUGCAACCCGACUCCGUGAAGCUGGAUUCGCUAGUAAUCGCGCAUCAGCCAUGGCGCGGUGAAUACGUUCCCGGGCCUUGUACACACCGCCCGUCAAGCCAUGGGAGCCGGGGGUACCUGAAGUCCGUAACCGCGAGGAUCGGCCUAGGGUAAAACUGGUGACUGGGGCUAAGUCAUAACAA
rnacentral:rRNA from 1 species